UCUUCCGUAGUAUAGUGGUCAGUAUGCGAGCUUGUCACGCUUGAGACCCGGGUUCAAUUCCCGGCGGGAGAG
rnacentral:tRNA from 2 species